rnacentral:snRNA from 1 species
AUACUCUGGUUUCUCUUCAGAUCGUAUAAAUCUUUCGCCUUUUACUAAAGAUUUCCGUGGAGAGGAACAUUCGUGAGUUCUUAAGCAAUUUUUAGAAGCCUUGCGCUUUUGCAGGGCU